rnacentral:lncRNA from 1 species
CUCGAACCAUCUAGUCGUUUACAGAGGGGUAGUUUCCAUCCAUGGAGCUUCCCUUGUUACUUUCGAUCUGUUACGUAACGAAAGCAAGAGAAGUAACAGUUUUUUUUUUUGCAAGAAUUAUGUGGCUUUAAUUUUUUUUUAUCAAAUACUUUGGUUUUUUCGGUUAUAUCCAAAAUACUCGAAUCUAAACUAAAAGUACAUGAACCCAACCUGAAGUGUAAAAAUACCCGAACGGGUUUUAUGCUUCUAUACUGAAAUACGCGAUCCAAACCCGAAAGCCCACCCCUACCUAAGAGCAUCUCCAAUCCAACCUUAAAUCCUCGAAUUUUAAGGUUUUGUGUCAUUCCAACCCAACUUCAAAUUCUCAAAUUUUGAAGUUGUGAAUAGUGAAACCUCAAAUUUGAGGUUUCUAUUCACAAACUCAAAACUAUCUUUUAUUUUCUGUUUGGUCCUUAUAGUUAUUUCUUUUCAUAAAUACAUAUGCUAAACUUAAUUUAUAAUAACUUAAAUACACCAAAAUAAAUUAAAAUAAGAUAAAUAUUACAUAACAUUAAAAUAAAGUUCACACAAUAUAAAAAUACAUAAAAUAAAGUCCAC